rnacentral:rRNA from 1 species
AUUGAACGCUGGCGGCAUGCCUUACACAUGCAAGUCGAACGGCAGCACGGGUGCUUGCACCUGGUGGCGAGUGGCGAACGGGUGAGUAAUACAUCGGAACAUGUCCUGUAGUGGGGGAUAGCCCGGCGAAAGCCGGAUUAAUACCGCAUACGAUCUACGGAUGAAAGCGGGGGACCUUCGGGCCUCGCGCUAUAGGGUUGGCCGAUGGCUGAUUAGCUAGUUGGUGGGGUAAAGGCCUACCAAGGCGACGAUCAGUAGCUGGUCUGAGAGGACGACCAGCCACACUGGGACUGAGACACGGCCCAGACUCCUACGGGAGGCAGCAGUGGGGAAUUUUGGACAAUGGGCGAAAGCCUUAUCCAGCAAUGCCGCGUGUGUGAAGAAGGCCUUCGGGUUGUAAAGCACUUUUGUCCGGAAAGAAAUCCUUGGCCCUAAUACGGUCGGGGGAUGACGGUACCGGAAGAAUAAGCACCGGCUAACUACGUG